AUAGCGUAUAUUAAAGUUGUUGCCGUUAAAAAGCUCGUAGUCGAACUUCGGUCCCUGUGAGUCGGUCCGCCUUCUUGGUGUGUACUUACUUCGCGGGGACUUACCUCCUGGUGAACUGCGAUGUCCUUUACUGGGUGUCGUAGCGAACCAGGACGUUUACUUUGAAAAAAUUAGAGUGUUCAAAGCAGGCCUACGCCCGAAUACAUUAGCAUGGAAUAAUAGAAUAGGACGCGCGUUCCCAUUUUGUUGGUUUCUGAGAUCGCCGUAAUGAUUAAUAGGGAUAGUUGGGGGCAUUUGUAUUCCGUCGUCAGAGGUGAAAUUCUUGGAUUGCCGGAAGACAAACUACUG
rnacentral:rRNA from 1 species